rnacentral:rRNA from 1 species
CCUACGGGUGGCAGCAGUGGGGAAUAUUGCACAAUGGGGGAAACCCUGAUGCAGCGACGCCGCGUGCGUGAAGAAGUAUUUCGGUAUGUAAAGCUCUAUCAGCAGGGAAGAAAAUGACGGUACCUGCCUAAGAAGCCCCGGCUAACUACGUGCGAGCAGCCGCGGUAAUACGUAGGGGGCAAGCGUUAUCCGGAUUUACUGGUUGUAAAGGAAGCGUAGACGGCCAGAAAAGUCAGAAGUGAAAGCCCAGGGCGCAACCCUGGGACUGCUUUUGAAACUGCCGGGCUGGAGUGCAGGAGAGGUAAGCGGAAUUCCUAGUGUAGCGGUGAAAUGCGUAGAUAUUAGGAGGAACACCAGUGGCGAAGGCGGCUUACUGGACUGUAACUGACGUUGAGGCGCGAAAGCGUGGGGAGCAAACAGGAUUAGAUACCCCUGUAGUC